rnacentral:rRNA from 1 species
UACGGAGGAUCCAAGCGUUAUCCGGAAUCAUUGGGUUUAAAGGGUCCGUAGGCGGUUUUGUAAGUCAGUUGGUGAAAGCCCAUCGCUCAACGGUGGAACGGCCAUUGAUACUGCAAGACUUGAAUUACUAGGAAGUAACUAGAAUAUGUAGUGUAGCGGUGAAAUGCUUAGAUAUUACAUGGAAUACCAAUUCGAAGGCAGGUUACUACUAGUGGAUUGACGCUGAUGGACGAAAAGCGUGGGGGAGCGAACAGG